CGUAGGUGGAGAGCGUUGUCCGGAAUUACUGGGUGUAAAGGGCGUGUAGGCGGGAAUACAAGUCAGAUGUGAAAUACCGUGGCUUAACCACGGGGCUGCAUCUGAAACUGUGUUUCUUGAGUGUCGGAGAGGAAAGUGGAAUUCCCAGUGUAGCGGUGAAAUGCGUAGAUAUUGGGAGGAACACCAGUGGCGAAGGCGACUUUCUGGACGAUAACUGACGCUGAGGCGCGAAAGCGUGGGGAGCAAACAGGAUUAGAUACCCUGGUAGUCCACGCUGUAAACGAUGGAUACUAGGUGUGGGAGGUAUCGACCCCUUCCGUGCCGCAGUUAACACAAUAAGUAUCCCACCUGGGGAGUACGGCCGCAAGGUUG
rnacentral:rRNA from 1 species